rnacentral:hammerhead_ribozyme from 1 species
CUCUUGACGAGUCCCAAAUAGAACGAAAUGCGCAUCCUGGAU